GCCAGGCGUGGUGAUGUGCACCUGUAAUCCCAGCUACUCGGGAGGCUGAGGCAGGAGAAUCACUUGAACCUGGGAGGCAGAGGUUGCAGUGAGCCAAGAUUGCGCCACUGCACUCCAGCCUGGGUGACAGAGUGAUACUCUGCCUCAA
rfam:Pan troglodytes isolate Yerkes chimp pedigree #C0471 (Clint) chromosome 5, whole genome shotgun sequence.